GCCAGACUCCUACGGGAGGCAGCAGUGAGGAAUAUUGGUCAAUGGGCGAGAGCCUGAACCAGCCAAGUCGCGUGAGGGAAGACGGUCCUACGGAUUGUAAACCUCUUUUGUCAGGGAGCAAGGAGCGCCACGAGUGGUGCGGCGAGAGUACCUGAGGAAAAAGCAUCGGCUAACUCCGUGCCAGCAGCCGCGGUAAUACGGAAGGUCCGGGCGUUAUCCGGAUUUAUUGGGUUUAAAGGGAGCGUAGGCCGGCUUUUAAGUCAGCUGUGAAAGUCCGCGGCUCAACCGUGGAAUUGCAGUUGAAACUGGAGGCCUUGAGUGCACACAGGGAUGCCGGAAUUCAUGGUGUAGCGGUGAAAUGCUUAGAUAUCAUGAAGAACUCCGAUCGCGAAGGCAAGUGUCCGGGGUGCAACUGACGCUGAGGCUCGAAAGUGCGGGUAUCAAACAGGAUUAGAUACCCGCGUAUA
rnacentral:rRNA from 1 species